rfam:Streptomyces sp. CB01580 scaffold11, whole genome shotgun sequence.
UUGAGCCGAGAUGCUUGGAAACAGGCACGUCCGGUUCUGAGGGGGCCGGGUCAUGGCGACGUGACCCGGCUACCCGAC